CUGAUGCAGCAACGCCGCGUGAGGGACGACGGCCUUCGGGUUGUAAACCUCUUUUAGCAAGGAAGAAGCGAAAGUGACGGUACUUGCAGAAAAAGCACCGGCUAACUACGUGCCAGCAGCCGCGGUAAUACGUAGGGUGCAAGCGUUAUCCGGAAUUAUUGGGCGUAAAGAGCUCGUAGGCGGUUUGUCGCGUCUGCUGUGAAAUCUGGGGGCUCAACCCCCAGCCUGCAGUGGGUACGGGCAGACUAGAGUGCGGUAGGGGAGAUUGGAAUUCCUGGUGUAGCGGUGGAAUGCGCAGAUAUCAAGAGGAACACCGAUGGCGAAGGCAGAUCUCUGGGCCGUAACUGACGCUGAGGAGCGAAAGGGUGGGGAGCAAACAGGCUUAGAUACCCUGGUAGUCCACCCCGUAAACGUUGGGAACUAGUUGUGGGGUCCAUUCCACGGAUUCCGUGACGCAUCUAACGCAUUAAGUUCCCCGCCUGGGGAGUACGGCCGCAAGGCUAAAACUCAGAGGAAUUGACGGGGACCCGCACAAGCGGCGGAGCAUGCGGAUUAAUUCGAUGCAACGCGAAGAACCUUACCAAGGCUUGACAUAUACCAGAACGGGCUAGAAAUAGUCAACUCUUUGGACA
rnacentral:rRNA from 1 species